UACGAAGGGGGCUAGCGUUACUCGGAAUUACUGGGCGUAAAGGGCGCGUAGGCGGCGCACCAAGUUAGGCGUGAAAGUCCUGGGCUCAACCUGGGAACUGCGCUUGAUACUGGUGUGCUUGAGGAUGGAAGAGGGUUGUGGAAUUCCCAGUGUAGAGGUGAAAUUCGUAGAUAUUGGGAAGAACACCGGUGGCGAAGGCGGCCUGCUGGGCAGUAGCUGACGCUGAGGCGCGACAGCGUGGGGAGCAAACAGG
rnacentral:rRNA from 1 species